GGAAAUAUAGCUCAAUUGGUAGAGCAGUUCGCUUUUAACGAAUUGGUUGUCGGUUCGAAUCCGGCUAUUUUCA
rnacentral:tRNA from 1 species